CCUACGGGUGGCAGCAGUGGGGAAUAUUGCACAAUGGGGGAAACCCUGAUGCAGCGACGCCGCGUGGGCGAAGAAGGAUUUCGGUAUGUAAAGCUCUCUCAGCAGGGAAGAAAAUGACGGUACCUGAGUAAAAAGCUCCGGCUAAAUACGUGCCAGCAGCCGCGGUAAUACGUAGGGAGCAAGCGUUAUCCGGAUUUACUGGGCGUAAAGGGAGCGUAGGCGGCCUGCCAAGUCUGAUGUGAAAUACCGGGGCUCAACCCCGGGGCUGCAUUGGAAACUGGCAGGCUGGAGUGCAGGAGAGGUAGGUGGAAUUCUUGGUGUAGGGGUAAAAUGCGUAGAGAUCAAGAGGAACACUCAUGGCGAAGGCGACUUGCUAGAACAUAACUGACGCUGAGGCGCGAAAGCGUGGGGAGCAAACAGGAUUAGAUACCCCGGUAGUC
rnacentral:rRNA from 1 species